rnacentral:rRNA from 1 species
CCUACGGGGUGCAGCAGUGGGGGAUAUUGGACAAUGGGGGAAACCCUGAUCCAGCGACGCCGCGUGAGUGAAGAAGUAUUUCGGUAUGUAAAGCUCUAUCAGCAGGGAAGAAAGAAAUGACGGUACCUGAGUAAGAAGCCCCGGCUAACUACGUGCCAGCAGCCGCGGUAAUACGUAGGGGGCAAGCGUUAUCCGGAAUUACUGGGUGUAAAGGGAGCGUAGACGGUAAUGCAAGUCUGGAGUGAAAGGCGGGGGCCCACCCCCCGGACUGCUCUGGAAACUGUGUAACUGGAGUGCAGGAGAGGCAGGCGGAAUUCCUAGUGUAGCGGUGAAAUGCGGAGAUAUUAGGAGGAACACCAGUGGCGAAGGCGGCCUGCUGGACUGUAACUGACGUUGAGGCUCGAAAGCGUGGGGAGCAAACAGGAGUAGAUACCCGAGUAGUC